AAACUAACAGAUUUACUUCGGUAAUGACGUUAGGAAAGCGAGCGGCGGAUGGGUGAGUAACACGUGGGGAACCUGCCCCAUAGUCUGGGAUACCACUUGGAAACAGGUGCUAAUACCGGAUAAGAAAGCAGAUCGCAUGAUCAGCUUUUAAAAGGCGGCGUAAGCUGUCGCUAUGGGAUGGCCCCGCGGUGCAUUAGCUAGUUGGUAAGGUAAAGGCUUACCAAGGCGAUGAUGCAUAGCCGAGUUGAGAGACUGAUCGGCCACAUUGGGACUGAGACACGGCCCAAACUCCUACGGGAGGCAGCAGUAGGGAAUCUUCCACAAUGGACGCAAGUCUGAUGGAGCAACGCCGCGUGAGUGAAGAAGGUUUUCGAAUCGUAAAGCUCUGUUGUUGGUGAA
rnacentral:rRNA from 1 species